rnacentral:tRNA from 1 species
UCUUCUGUAGUAUAGUGGUCAGUAUGCAAGCUUGUCACGCUUGAUCUCGGUGCAAGGGACGGGUUUAAUUCCCAGCGGGAGAG